ensembl:lncRNA
CUAAAAUGCGGAAGUUGGGGUUUUAGCUCGAAAUUUUCAUAAAUUGUUACAAACUGGAAUGUUAGAAGUUGAUUUUAGUUUAGGCAGGAGCUGUUUGACCGCGUCUUCUCACAGUUUGCAAACUGUUUUUGGUGUUUUGUUCGUCGGUUUUAUUUUACCGUCGAUGUUCGGCCCGUUUAACGGUGAGGUCAGGCUCAGGAAAUCUGCGCCAUUUUGUUUAAUCUGCGCCAUUUCGUCGGUUUUCUGAAGGUUAGUCGCAGGUGCAGUGACUCUUGGCUCGGAGUUAAUUAGAGUAAUGGAGUGGACGACAACAUUUGAAAACCUAUGGAGAUUAAAAUCUCUUUUUGAGGGAGAAUUUGCCAAGACGACCACGUGAAACCAAAUGGUAUCACAGAGGAAGAUCCCUGAUGACUAACUGCUGUGUGCCAAGGUGGUGUCUGGGGAGGGGCAAGGCUCAGUUGAGUGGUUCACCAGCAUCGGAAACGAGCAAACUGUUUCGUUUGUGCUGACCCGUGAGGAGUUCACAGACAAACUGGGGCCGAUGUGCAGGGGAGUUAUGAAAAGAUUUCAGUUGGCCAAUCAACCUGUCCCCAAAAUCCUGUACGUGGACCGUGGGUGUUGCCGAGCACAGGACCCAACAGCAGUGGAGACUUUGUUUCAGCCUGGGGUGGACUGUGGGUUGGUUGUGUGUCUGGGCAUCUUCCACUGGAUCCACUGGUUUGAGUCCCACUCCAAGUACGCUGCUUUUAAAUCUGCGCUCGCCUGAGCAGUGCUGGCCUACAAUCACAGUCAGUCAGAGCUAAAAAUCCAGCAGUGCUGCAGUCUGCCUCUGAUAAUGACGUUGUCAGGAGCAGCUGAAGCAUCAUGUGCAGAGGGUGACACUCGGGGCUCAGGAAACAUUUCAGCUCAUCCACCUGAUGAGUAGCUUAAAGAUCCUGCUGGAUUGGAUGAGAGUGGAGUGAGCCUCUUCAGAACACCUGAGGCCAUUGAUGGGAUGUGGGCAGCACAACAGAGACAUCUGCAGUGCAUCCAGGAUCCACCAGACAUUAACAUGUACAAGGUGGCACAAACCAACCAUCAACAACAUGGAUGUGUCCUCCUCCAAGUGCCUGCAUGUGUAACAGAGAGAGCUGGGCCAGACCAGCCACACAUGGAAACAUCAGCCUGGAAGGAUUCCACAAGACUUUGUCAAGCAGGAUUCCAGGUCCUCACUGUGCAGCACAGCCCUAUCAGGUUUACCUGAUCAGUGGCAUCGUCCAGUGGAACGCUGACAGGAGCUCUGAUGUGGUGUUUAGGGGCAGAGGAUGGUGUUACUGGAACUACUCUGCACCGCUGAUCAACCACCUCAACACCUCCUGUCAGCAGCUGUCUGGGGAGACUGGAGGAGAAUUUCAGGAUCCCUGCUGUUGUCUCCUCCAACGAGCUGCUUGAGUAUGGGGGAAUCCAGACCCUUCUCUCUUCAGGACAUCAUCAACGAUGGACCUGGUCCCGAGCAGGAGGAGGUUCAGUCUGGGCAGCCUGAUCCAGACGAGGCUGAUGACGGGGAGGAACAUGAGCUGGAUGCUGACCUGCCCCACAUCACGCUUAACUAGUGAGGAAACUAUCACCAGGCCUGCAUCAUCCCUCGCUGUAUCCACAGCAGCCCAAAAGAUUGCUGGCGUCUCUGGGAUUACUGGCCCCUCCAGACAGCCCAUCCUGCUUGCUUCAUCAGACCCUGCAACUGCAGCUCACACUGCUGGCACACCUGUGACUACUUCUUCGUGCUGGACAAGAGCAACGCUGUACAAGCAGAAGCUGAAGGGCUACCAGGGUGCAAAAUCUGCCAGCAUGUACAGUCUGUGGCCAGCCAACACAGGGACAUAGAAAGUAGAAAAAAGGCUUUCUGCCCAGUAACAAUGAUGUCCCCGUUUAAAGGUCUGAGCAACAGAGUGUUUACCAGCUACGAGCACUUCACCUCUGCUGUUGACAGUUUGAAUUGUAAAUAUGCUGUAAAUACGCAAGGUUGCUUUGUACAUUUUGUAUGUUUGGGGCACUGAAUUGUAAAUAUCUGUAAAUAUGUUAGAGUUGCUUUUUAUAUGCUGUGAUUGAUUUAGAAAUACAUUAGGUUUGCUUUGUAUAUACUGUAAAUAAUUUUCAUUAGUCUGAGUUUUUAUUUAGUUUUUUACACUUAAAUUGUCUAAAAUCCUGUGUACUGUAUUAUUUUUAUUCAAUAAAGUGAUCUGGAGGAUGGAACUGUGAUCUGUAAAUAGUUGCAUCUUACUGACAAAUUGUAAAUAUUUUUUAUUUUCAUGUCCUUUAAUUCUGAAUCAUGUUCAAUGAUACUUUGUCGACACUAGUGCUGUGGUUUUUCCAUGUUCCUUAGUUCAUGCACUUGAUGUAUUAAAGGGGUCAGUGCUACAGUAACAGUGAGUUGUGGAAUAUCAAUUUAUGAAUG